UACGUAGGGGGCAAGCGUUGUCCGGAAUCAUUGGGCGUAAAGAGCGCGUAGGCGGCCCUGUCAGUCCGCUGUGAAAGUCGGGGGCUCAACCCUCGAAUGCCGGUGGAUACUGUUGGGCUAGAGUGCGGGAGAGGCGAGAGGAACUGCGAGUGUAGAGGUGAAAUUCGUAGAUAUUCGCAAGAACACCAGUGGCGAAGGCGGCUCACUGGCCCGGUACUGACGCUGAGGUGCGAAAGCGUGGGGAGCAAACAGG
rnacentral:rRNA from 1 species